rnacentral:rRNA from 1 species
AGCGAACGCUGGCGGCGUGCCUAACACAUGCAAGUCGAACGUGAAAGGGAGCAAUCCUGAGUAAAGUGGCGUACGGGUGAGUAACACGUAGGUAAUCUACCUUAAAGCCUGGAAUAACCUGCCGAAAGGCGGGCUAAUACUGGAUAGAGCGAAGAAUUUGUAGAGAAUUUUUCGGGAAAGGGAGCCUGAUAAGGGCCCUCACUUUAGGAUGAGCCUGCGUCCCAUUAGCUAGUUGGUAGGGUAAUGGCCU